rnacentral:rRNA from 1 species
AACACCGUAUGACCUAGUGGCAGACGGGUGAGUAAUAUGUAAGAAACUUGCCCUAAAGCGGGGAAUACCUCCGAGAAAUCGGGGCUAAUACCCCAUAAGACCACAACCCGGCAUCGGGAAGGGGUUAAAGACGUAAGUCGCUUUAGGAUAGUCUUACAGCCUAUCAGCUAGUUGGUGAGGUAACGGCUCACCAAGGCUAAGACGGGUAUCCGGCCUGAAAGGGUGAACGGACACACUGGAACUGAGACACGGUCCAG